rnacentral:rRNA from 1 species
GACGAACGCUGGCGGCGUGCUUAACACAUGCAAGUCGAACGGUAAGGCCCUUCGGGGUACACGAGUGGCGAACGGGUGAGUAACACGUGGGUGAUCUGCCCUGCACUUCGGGAUAAGCCUGGGAAACUGGGUCUAAUACCGGAUACGACUCCGGACUGCAUGGUCUGGGGUGGAAAGCCUCUGCGGUGUGGGAUGGGCCCGCGGCCUAUCAGCUUGUUGGUGGGGUGAUGGCCUACCAAGGCGACGACGGGUAGCCGGCCUGAGAGGGUGACCGGCCACACUGGGACUGAGAUACGGCCCAGACUCCUACGGGAGGCAGCAGUGGGGAAUAUUGCACAAUGGGCGCAAGCCUGAUGCAGCGACGCCGCGUGAGGGAUGACGGCCUUCGGGUUGUAAACCUCUUUCAGCAUCGACGAAGCGAAAGUGACGGUAGGUGCAGAAGAAGGACCGGCCAACUACGUGCCAGCCGCCGCGGUAA